UACGUAGGUGGCAAGCGUUGUCCGGAAUUAUUGGGCGUAAAGCGCGCGCAGGCGGUCCUUUAAGUCUGAUGUGAAAUCCCACGGCUCAACCAUGGAAGUGCUUUCGAAACUGCUGAGCUUGAGUACUUAAGAGGAUCGCGGAAUUCCCGGUGUAGAGGUGAAAUUCGUAGAUAUCGGGAGGAACACCAGUGGCGAAGGCGGCGAUCUGGGAAGAUACUGACGCUGAGGUGCGAAAGCGUGGGGAGCAAACAGG
rnacentral:rRNA from 1 species